rnacentral:rRNA from 1 species
GAUGAACGCUGGCGGCGUGCCUAAUACAUGCAAGUCGAGCGAACGGACGAGGAGCUUGCUCCUCUGCAGUUAGCGGCGGACGGGUGAGUAACACGUGGAUAACCUACCUAUAAGACUGGGAUCACUUCGGGAAACCUGAGCUAAUACCGGAUCAUAUAUUGAAACGCGUGGUUCAAUAGUGAAAGACGGAUUUGCUGACACUUAUAGAUGGAUCCGCGCCGCAUUAGCUAGUUGGUAAGGUAACGGCUUACCAAGGCAACGAUGCGUAGCCGACCUGAGAGGGUGAUCGGCCACACUGGAACUGAGACACGGUCCAGACUCCUACGGGAGGCAGCAGUAGGGAAUCUUCGGCAAUGGGCGAAAGCCUGACGGAGCAACGCCGCGUGAGUGAUGAAGGUCUUCGGAUCGUAAAACUCUGUUAGUAGGGAAGAACAAAUGUGUAAGUAACUAUGCACGUCUUGACGGUACCUACUCAGAAAGCCACGGCUAACUACGUG